rnacentral:tRNA from 2 species
GGAGGUUAAACUCCUCCCUAGUG